AGGCAUCCUGUUGAACACCACUUCCUGUACCUUCUACCUGGUGCAUGCUGCAAUAUGAUGGCACAACCCAAUGUGACACCAGUGGUGCAAGUGUAUUUUUUAAUCAAGCAAAUUCCGAGAGCUAACCUAUUCAUAUAGUUGAAACAUAGGGGAUCUGGACAAAUUUGGACAGGAUGCUAAUUUUAGCCCAUUUGCCAUUGCUGCUUCUUUUGGGAAACCAAGAUUCAGUAACCUGUAUCGACCUGGAGAAACAGCAUGAAGUCAUCUAUGCAGUAGUUGGAGAACCUCUAGUAUUGAACUGCACCUACAACUGCUCAUCUGGAUUUGUCCGUGGCCACUGGAUCAAAGUCUCAGACUGUCCUCAUUGUCCUAGGCCAAGGGAAACAAAAAAUGUCACAAAGAAUGGUGACCUCUGCACACUACCAUUGUAUUUUCCACAUCUGUCCACGGAAGAUUUUCGGUACAACUAUACCUGCUUUUCUGAAGAUCACGAAAGCAAACAUUUCUCACGCAAGAUAGAGGUUUUGGUAUCACUGCAGGCACAAGGUCGACGUAGUGCCCCGGCCACAACGGUCACUACUGAUGUAUCGGUGACAGCGUUGAGUAACCACGAAGACUCAAUAAUAGAUAAUGAGGAAUUCCCAGUUGUCAAAGUGUUGGCAACAGUGACAGUUAUUGUGGCUGCUGUGUUGACAGCCGUGGCUGUCUACUUAUGUAUGAGCCGCAAUCGAUAUUGCAAAGGAAAACCUGCUGUUAUCUGUACAGGCACAACAUCAAGAGAAGGAUCUAGUGUUGGAAGGCUGACAACAGGUGCAUGCUUAACUAAUUGUGAGAGGGUGGCACUGAGAAUAACUCCAGCUGAUUGCCAGAGUGAUCAUGAGGUUCCUUAUGCUGACAUCAUGAUUACUAUGCGAGGGGCCAGCACACCUGAACUCACACAGAUCUCCUACCUAGCACCGGGGGACCAUAGAGAGAGGUGGAGAGAAGAGGCAGGCCCUGAAGCUAGGUCCCACCUGCAGGCCUCCCGCUCAGCUGAUAGACUGCAUGUCCAGCCCCGAGAGGUCUCCAGGAAGAUGAGCACAAACUCUGAGUACGCUGUCAUCACCUACUCUUAAUCUGUGGGGCUGGAGAUGAUAAAAGAGGGAAUAAGAGAGAGCAAGUGAGAAAUGACUGUCACUGUACUCAUAUUAUUAAUCCUUGGCUGUUUUGUUUGCAUGUUUUUAACUGUAGCAAGUUGUUUCUAUAACUUUAUAAAACAAUUAACUGUGAGUAUCAUCCAAUAAAGUCAUACUUUUGUGUCAUGAUGUGGUUUCAUGUGUCAUUUGUUAUCUCACUCAGUUUGAACCUCUUUCGUCGCCGUAGUCAGAGCCUUGUUUCCUAGCAACAAGCACCAACACUCUGGCAUCAACUGUUGCUGAUGCAAAACAAACGUUUUGCGAAACUGUUUGAGGCCAAAAACAUUAGCUAAAGGU
rnacentral:lncRNA from 1 species